rnacentral:rRNA from 1 species
GAUGAACGCUGGCGGCGUGCCUAAUACAUGCAAGUCGAGCGAACAGACGAGGAGCUUGCUCCUCUGACGUUAGCGGCGGACGGGUGAGUAACACGUGGAUAACCUACCUAUAAGACUGGGAUAACUUCGGGAAACCGGAGCUAAUACCGGAUAAUAUAUUGAACCGCAUGGUUCAAUAGUGAAAGACGGUUUUGCUGUCACUUAUAGAUGGAUCCGCGCCGCAUUAGCUAGUUGGUAAGGUAACGGCUUACCAAGGCGACGAUGCGUAGCCGACCUGAGAGGGUGAUCGGCCACACUGGAACUGAGACACGGUCCAGACUCCUACGGGAGGCAGCAGUAGGGAAUCUUCCGCAAAGGGCGAAAGCCUGACGGAGCAACGCCGCGUGAGUGAUGAAGGUCUUCGGAUCGUAAAACUCUGUUAUUAGGGAAGAACAAAUAUGUAAGUAACUAUGCACGUCUUGACGGUACCUAAUCAGAAAGCCACGGCUAACUACGUG